rnacentral:rRNA from 1 species
CCAAUAGCGUAUAUUAAAGUUGUUGCAGCUAAAAAGCUCGUAGUUGAAUUUCGGGGUCAGUAGUUUGGUCGUGCCAACGGUAUGUACUGGGCUCACUGAUUCCUCCUUCCUGAUGAACUGUAAUGCCAUUAAUCUGGUGUUGCAGGGAAACUGGACUGUUACUUUGAAAAAAUUAGAGUGUUUAAAGCAAGCUAACGCUUGAAUACAUUAGCAUGGAAUAAUGAAAUAGGACGUUCGAUCCUAUUUUGUUGGUUUCUAGGAUUGACGUAAUGAUUAAUAGGGAUAGUUGGGGGCAUUAGUAUUCAAUUGUCAGAGGUGAAAUUCUCGGAUUUAUUGAAGACUAACUACUGCGAAAGCAUUUGCCAAGGAUGUUUUCAUUAAUCAAGAACGAAAGUUAGGGGAUCGAAGACGAUCAGAUACCGUCGUAGUCUUAACCAUAAACUAUGCCGACUAGGGAUCGGAUGAUGUUAAUUUUUUAAUGACUCAUUCGGCGCCUUACG